rnacentral:rRNA from 15 species
UUUUAGAGCGUAAUAGUAUAUUGCUUGCUUGACUGUAAGAUCAACAAAUCAAACAGGGACGAAAGUCGGUUAUAGUGAUCCGGUGAUUCUGUGUGGAAAGAUCAUCGCUCAACGAAUAAAAGGUACGCCGGGGAUAACAGGCUAAUCAUUCUCUAGAGACCCUAUCGACGGAAUGGUUUGGCACCUCGAUGUUGGAUUAUCGCAUCCUGGAAUUGUAAAAGGUUCCAAGGGUUUGGCUGUUCGCCAAGUAAUGCGGUACAUGAUCUGAGUUUAGAACGUCGUGAGACAGUUUGGUCCCUAUCUACCGCAAAUAAAAAAAAUUGAAAGGAUUAGACUUUAGUACGAGAGGACCGAGAAAAAUAAAUCCAUGGUGAAUCGGUUGUUUUAUCAAAAGCAUCGCCGAGUAGCUA